UUUCCGUAGGUGAACCUGCGGAAGGAUCAUUACUGAAUUGUCAACAUGAGUUGUUGCUGGCCCUCAAACAGGGGCAUGUGCACACUCUGUUCACACAUCCACUCACACCUGUGCACCCCUCCAUAGUUCUGUGGCCAGAGGCGGAUUAGCCCUGCCGUGGUUCUAUGUCUUUACACACACACUGUAAUAAAGUCUAAUGGGAUGUAUGCCGCGUUUAACGCAAUACAAUACAACUUUCAGCAACGGAUCUCUUGGCUCUCGCAUCGAUGAAGAACGCAGC
rnacentral:misc_RNA from 1 species